rnacentral:rRNA from 1 species
UGCAGUCGAACGAUGACUAUCUAGCUUGCUAGUUAUGAUUAGUGGCGGACGGGUGAGUAACAUUUAGGAAUCUGCCUAGUAGUGGGGGAUAGCUCGGGGAAACUCGAAUUAAUACCGCAUACGACCUACGGGUGAAAGGGGGCGCAAGCUCUUGCUAUUAGAUGAGCCUAAAUCAGAUUAGCUAGUUGGUGGGGUAAAGGCCCACCAAGGCGACGAUCUGUAACUGGUCUGAGAGGAUGAUCAGUCACACCGGAACUGAGACACGGUCCGGACUCCUACGGGAGGCAGCAGUGGGGAAUAUUGGACAAUGGGGGCAACCCUGAUCCAGCCAUGCCGCGUGUGUGAAGAAGGCCUUUUGGUUGUAAAGCACUUUAAGCAGGGAGGAGAGGCUAAUGGUUAAUACCCAUUAGAUUAGACGUUACCUGCAGAAUAAGCACCGGCUAACUCUGUGCCAGCAGCCGCGGUAAUACAGAGGGUGCGAGCGUUAAUCGGAAUUACUGGGCGUAAAGCGAGUGUAGGUGGCUCAUUAAGUCACAUGUGAAAUCCCCGGGCUUAACCUGGGAACUGCAUGUGAUACUGGUGGUGCUAGAAUAUGUGAGAGGGAAGUAGAAUUCCAGGUGUAGCGGUGAAAUGCGUAGAGAUCUGGAGGAAUACCGAUGGCGAAGGCAGCUUCCUGGCAUAAUAUUGACACUGAGAUUCGAAAGCGUGGGUAGCAAACAGGAUUAGAUACCCUGGUAGUCCACGCCGUAAACGAUGUCUACUAGCCGUUGGGGUCCUUGAGACUUUAGUGGCGCAGUUAACGCGAUAAGUAGACCGCCUGGGGAGUACGGCCGCAAGGUUAAAACUCAAAUGAAUUGACGGGGGCCCGCACAAGCGGUGGAGCAUGUGGUUUAAUUCGAUGCAACGCGAAGAACCUUACCUGGUCUUGACAUAGUGAGAAUCCUGCAGAGAUGCGGGAGUGCCUUCGGGAAUUCACAUACAGGUGCUGCAUGGCUGUCGUCAGCUCGUGUCGUGAGAUGUUGGGUUAAGUCCC